GGCCUCAAGUGAUGUGUGACUACCC
rnacentral:rRNA from 1 species